CAGUGCAGCGGUGAAGACAGUAACAAAUUACAGGAUGACUCUAAAAAUUCUCUUGCUUGUUGCUUGUAUCCUGGUAACGAUUACUGAACAAAAUCAAGGGGUUGCAGAAUGGAUGCCAGACACAGCCCAAGUCUCCACAACAACACAAAGCACUUGUGCAUUAUCUGCUCAGUCUGACACGAAGAGGCCUCCCAAGGACAAGAGCCAAGUCUUGAAAACUGGACAAAAGAAGACAGGGUGCUACUGUAAUGGGAAGUGGAACAGACGGUUGAAACCAGGCUGUCGCUGCAAGCAGUCCCCCAACCCUGUAAUGCGCAGGACCUCCAAGGCAGUCAAGAAAAAUCCAAUGAAAAGGACCCGGAAUCCGAUAAAUCGUCGUAGAGGGACGAAACGUAUUUCCAGACGUCCCAUCAGCACCCCCAUUUAAAGCAUGCAACCUGAUCUAUCUUUGAUGUUAUCUCAAGUUAUAACCCCUGUCCAUUAAUUAACAUGCAACCAUGUUUCUUGUAUGCACUUGUUUUGUAAACAACGAACCAUGUUGUAGUAGCCAUGUACUAGCAUCAGUCACCGUGGAAUUCAUUGCUGUCAUUACUAUAUUUUGUAACUAUUGUGUAUUACCUAUAAGCACCUCUUCACAUUCUUCGCUACUGUUUGUUCUACUUCGUGUACAUUUUUAAAAGUUUCUGAAUGCAGGUUUACUGUCGGCUACUGGACAUCUGCCAUUCCAGAUGCUGCGCUCUUCUGUUUUAUAGCAAUAAGAGAAGCUGUCUCUUACCUGCAUUAAUACAUGGAUAUACUGUACAUUUCCUAAGCAGUACAUAAUUACAUAUGUGUAUUAAAUGGAUAAUUAAA